rnacentral:piRNA from 1 species
UCCUGGAGUGAUUGCACCCUGAUGAAGAUC